CGCGGGGUGGAGCAGCCCGGUAGCUCGUCAGGCUCAUAACCUGAAGGUCCCUGGUUCAAAUCCAGGUCCCGCAACCA
rnacentral:tRNA from 5 species